UGUUACGAAUUUUCUUUCUUUUACUUUAUUCGUGUAUUAUUCAGGGUAAUGUGCUUAAUUAUUUAUAUAAUGAAUGCGUAAGACUUUCUAAGCUAUACCAUGUAAUAAUAAAUGUGUAAAAUAUGUGGUUUAAAAUCUGGCUGGUCAGAUGGAGUAAGAGAAUUUUCAUGGCUAAAUUAUUUUUGGAUAUAGAAAGAUUCAGGAGGUCUACUCGCAAAAUCGACAACGAUACAUUCGGAACGAUACGAUAAUACUCCGAAUAUAUCGCAACUAACGGACUCUAACAAAUGUUCGAAUUCCUUGUCGUUUAUCGUUACCAUAGACUAAUAUUUUGAUUUUUUUACGAUGUUAGUGUGAAUGUAAUAUGUUCAAACCAAUCAUUAUCUGUGCUUUGUCGCUGUGAAGUGUCAAAAGUCAAAACAUAGUUUAGGCGCUAAGGACCAUGCCAAACUCUGCACCACCAAUUUGGUAGCAUUUACACAUAAUGUAAAUGUUAAAAAAAUAUAUAAUAAAUAUAAUAUAACCAUUUAAAAUUGAAUAAAUAAUACAAAACUCGCGGAUAAUAAAAUGUAAAAAAAAGUAACUCAACCCUUCUCGUCGACUUCCUAUUUCUCAGGCGGCCAUUUGCAUUAUUUCUACGCAUAAACGAUCAACAAAAUGACUUAAAUAACUUAGUAGUAAAAAAAUCCUCUUGAAUAGUAAAUCACAUUUAAUUUUUUAAUAAUAUUUAUUAACUAUGUAUAUUGUAUGGCAAAUAUAUCUAUACAACUUGAAACGAUAAUAGCAACGACAGCCUAGAUGGUGUCGUCGACUUUAUUGCAAAAACGAAUACCAAAGACUGUCUAAACCAAAACUACAACGCAAAACAAAACUAUUAAUAAAAUAUUAUGUUAAUUG